rnacentral:rRNA from 1 species
GGGUUGUGAGGUUAAGCGACCAAGCGUACACGGUGGAUGCCCUGGCAGUCAGAGGCGAUGAAGGACGUGCUAAUCUGCGAAAAGCGCCGGUAAGGUGAUAUGAACCGUUAUAACCGGCGAUGUCCGAAUGGGGAAACCCAGUGUGACUCGUCACACUAUCAUUAACUGAAUCCAUAGGUUAAUGAGGCGAACCGGGGGAACUGAAACAUCUAAGUACCCCGAGGAAAAGAAAUCAACCGAGAUUCCCCCAGUAGCGGCGAGCGAACGGGGAGGAGCCCAGAGCCUGAAUCAGCAUGUGUGUUAGUGGAAGCGUCUGGAAAGGCGCGCGAUACAGGGUGACAGCCCCGUACACAAAAGCGCACAUGCUGUGAGCUCGAUGAGUAGGGCGGGACACGUGGUAUCCUGUCUGAAUAUGGGGGGACCAUCCUCCAAGGCUAAAUACUCCUGACUGACCGAUAGUGAACCAGUACCGUGAGGGAAAGGCGAAAAGAACCCCGGCGAGGGGAGUGAAACAGAACCUGAAACCGUGUACGUACAAGCAGUGGGAGCCCCACCACUAAGCCAGUGGUGAACUCCACAUACGCAUCCUUUGUGGAAGAUGCGGUUAACGGCGCGCAAGCGACGUUCAACCUCAGAAGAAGCAGAGGGGGCUUAGUGGUGGGGUGACUGCGUACCUUUUGUAUAAUGGGUCAGCGACUUAUAUUAUGUAGCAAGGUUAACCGCAUAGGGGAGCCGAAGGGAAACCGAGUCUUAAUUGGGCGUUAAGUUGCAGGGUAUAGACCCGAAACCCGGUGAUCUAGCCAUGGGCAGGUUGAAGGUUGGGUAACACUAACUGGAGGACCGAACCGACUAAUGUUGAAAAAUUAGCGGAUGACCUGUGGCUGGGGGUGAAAGGCCAAUCAAACCGGGAGAUAGCUGGUUCUCCCCGAAAGCUAUUUAGGUAGCGCCUCGUGAAUUCAUCUCCGGGGGUAGAGCACUGUUUCGGCUAGGGGGCCAUCCCGGCUUACCAACCCGAUGCAAACUGCGAAUACCGGAGAAUGUUAUCACGGGAGACACACGGCGGGUGCUAACGUCCGUCGUGAAGAGGGAAACAACCCAGACCGCCAGCUAAGGUCCCAAAGUCAUGGUUAAGUGGGAAACGAUGUGGGAAGGCCCAGACAGCCAGGAUGUUGGCUUAGAAGCAGCCAUCAUUUAAAGAAAGCGUAAUAGCUCACUGGUCGAGUCGGCCUGCGCGGAAGAUGUAACGGGGCUAAACCAUGCACCGAAGCUGCGGCAGCGACACUUUAGUGUUGUUGGGUAGGGGAGCGUUCUGUAAGCCGUCGAAGGUGUCCUGUGAGGGGUGCUGGAGGUAUCAGAAGUGCGAAUGCUGACAUAAGUAACGAUAAAGCGGGUGAAAAGCCCGCUCGCCGGAAGACCAAGGGUUCCUGUCCAACGUUAAUCGGGGCAGGGUGAGUCGACCCCUAAGGCGAGGCCGAAAGGCGUAGUCGAUGGGAAACGGGUUAAUAUUCCCGUACUUGGUGUUACUGCGAAGGGGGGACGGAGAAGGCUAUGUUGGCCGGGCGACGGUAGUCCCGGUUUAAGCGUGUAGGCUGGUUUUCCAGGCAAAUCCGGAAAAUCAAG